UAACACGUGGCUAACCUGCCCUUGGGACGGGAAUACCCCCGGGAAACUGGGGCUAAUUCCCGAUAGGUGAAGAAUUCUGGAAUGAAUCUUCGCCCAAAGGACAUUUAUGUCAUGCUCAUAGGUGUUGCCCAGGGAUGGGGCCGCGUCCGAUCAGGUAGUUGGUGAGGUAAUGGCUCACCAAGCCUUUUACCGGUGCGGGCCGUGAGAGCGGGAGCCCGGAGAUGGGCACUGAGACAAGGGCCCAGGCCCUACGGGGCGCAGCAGUCGCGAAAACUUUGCAAUACACGAAAGUGUGACAAGGCUAUCCCGAGUGCCAUCCGCUGAGGAAGGCUUUUACCCAGUAUAAAUAGCUGGGAGAAUAAGGAGAGGGCAAGUCUGGUGUCAGCCGCCGCGGUAAUACCAGCUCUCCGAGUAGUGUGGAUGUUUAUUGGGCCUAAAGCAUCCGUAGCUUGCUAUGCAAGUCCCCUGUUAAAUCCACCGAUUUAAUCGUUGGAUUGCGGGGGAUACUGUUUGGCUAGGGGACGGGAGAGGCCGACGGUAUUUCCGGGGUAGGGGUGAAAUCCUAUAAUCCCGGGAAGACCACCAGUGGCGAAGGCUGUCGGCUAGAACGCGCCCGACGGUGAGGGAUGAAAGCUGGGGGAGCGAACCGGAUUAGAUACCCGGGUAGUCCCAGCUGUAAACGAUGCAGGCUAGGUGUUUG
rnacentral:rRNA from 1 species